UACGUAGGGGGCAAGCGUUGUCCGGAAUCAUUGGGCGUAAAGAGCGUGUAGGCGGCCCGAUAAGUCCGCUGUGAAAGUCCAGGGCUCAACCCUGGGAUGCCGGUGGAUACUGUCGGGCUCGAGUCCGGAAGAGGAGUGUGGAAUUCCUGGUGUAGCGGUGAAAUGCGCAGAUAUCGGGAGGAACACCAGUGGCGAAGGCGACUACCUGGCCUGUUUCUUGACGCUGAGGCGCGAAAGCUAGGGGAGCAAACGGG
rnacentral:rRNA from 1 species